rnacentral:rRNA from 1 species
GACGAACGCUGGCGGCAUGCCUAACACAUGCAAGUCGAACGGAGAUUAUUUCGAUAAUCUUAGUGGCGAACGGGUGAGUAACGCGUGGGCAACCUGCCCUCUAGAUGGGGACAACAUCCCGAAAGGGGUGCUAAUACCGAAUGUGACAGCAAUCUCGCAUGAGGAUGCUGUGAAAGAUGGCCUCUAUUUAUAAGCUAUCGCUAGAUGAUGGGCCUGCGUCUGAUUAGCUAGUUGGUGGGGUAACGGCCUACCAAGGCGAUGAUCAGUAGCCGGUCUGAGAGGAUGAACGGCCACAUUGGGACUGAGGCACGGCCCAGACUCCUACGGGAGGCAGCAGUGGGGAAUCUUCCGCAAUGGGCGAAAGCCUGACGGAGCAAUGCCGCGUGAGUGAUGAAGGAAUUCGUUCCGAAAAGCUCUUUUGUUUAUGACGAAUGUGCAAGUUGUGAAUAAUGACUUGUAAUGACGGUAGUAAACGAAUAAGCCACGGCUAACUACGUGCCAGCCGCCGCGGUAA